GCCCCUGCCGAUACCUGCCCGCCCCCGCCUCCCCGGAGUCACACAGUGACGGAGACGGACGCUGCCGCGAGUGGUGCCACCACGUCUGUGACCUUUAUAAAACUCUCAUCGCGACAGCAGUACAAGCGAUAGAAAGGACAUCUCUUAUACACAUCUGAAUAAAUACAGCCUGGGCCCUGCGGGCACAGCCGGGCGUGGGGGGGGCGGCGUGAGCUACACAUGCGGCGACGGGACAAUCACAAGCGGCCGACUGGGCGUGUGACAACACAGAGACGUGUGUAGAGAUUUGCUCGGACCAGGCUCCGGCGCUCAGAGAGCCGAGUGAGGCGCCGACAGGAGGUGAAAUGCGUGAGAAGUGGGCUGGGGAGCCCAGCGGAGGCGGGGGUCCGGCAGGCACACGCUGCCCCCGCGGGCACGGUGCUCUUCUCGGCAGAAGCAGGCAGGGUAGCCCAGCUACAUCUCUGUUUCUGCUAAGAGGCUGUCACCGAGACCUGACGUCAUCAGCACCAUCUGGGAGCUGGAAUCUGUGUCGAGAGAGGGAGAAAACGAUGAGCCGUUUGGGCUGCCAGAGAGUACAGGGCUGUACUCCAGAUGCAGAGCAGCCGCAUUGUCCUUGGAGGCUGCCUUUCCACAAGAGGCUCAGCCCAACGCCGUUUAACAUGAAGGUCACGCCUGGAGGUUGUAUGUAUUCCAGUUCAUGGGGGGAAAGGACAGAUCCCAUUCACCAACCUCACCACAAGAAACCAGUGGCACUGGAAACACCCCAGACACUCCAACUCCUGCCUGUCAGCUCCUGCCCACAGCCCAGCUCCCAGAGCUCUUACUGUUUUGGCAGAUCCAGGGGUUCUUCUCCCUGGCUGUGACUUCGUGAGCCUCUGUCUCCUCCUCUUCCUCACCCUCUGAGAGAAGGUCAGAGAUCUGCUGCUGCAGCUCAGGACUAAUGUUGUUCUCCGCCAGGAUGAGUGUCCGUAGGGCUGUGGGGUAGUUCUCUACCAUGUCCAGCAAGGUCUGGGCGGAGAGUGAAAUAAACAGGCUGAAGCAGCACAAACAGCA